rnacentral:lncRNA from 1 species
GUACAUCUAUGAUAAAACAACAAAUAUUAUGAUAGAUUAAAUAAACAAUGAUCUGGUUACAUAUAUGAUAAUAAAUAUUUUGAUAUAUUGAUAUAUAUAUAAUAUGUUUACAUCUGUUAUUUGCAUUUGGAAAUCUAUGCAUUCCUGACCAGACCUCUUUAUAUGUAAUUUCCCCCAUUUUCGCGCACCAUUGCAUCCAAUUUGAUUUGGGCGUCUUCGUUA